GAUGAACGCUAGCGGCAGGCUUAACACAUGCAAGUCGAGGGGUAUAGUUCUUCGGAACUAGAGACCGGCGCACGGGUGCGUAACGCGUAUGCAAUCUACCUUUUACAGAGGGAUAGCCCAGAGAAAUUUGGAUUAAUACCUCAUAGUAUGUGAGAAUCGCAUGGUUUUCACAUUAAAGUUCCAACGGUAAAAGAUGAGCAUGCGUCCCAUUAGCUAGAUGGUAAGGUAACGGCUUACCAUGGCGACGAUGGGUAGGGUCCUGAGAGGGAGAUCCCCCACACUGGUACUGAGACACGGACCAGACUCCUACGGGAGGCAGCAGUGAGGAAUAUUGGGCAAUGGGCGCAAGCCUGAUCCAGCCAUGCCGCGUGCAGGAUGAAGGCCCUCGGGUUGUAAACUGCUUUUGACAGGGAAGAAAUCACUUAUGCGUAAGUGUCUGACGGUACCUGUAGAAUAAGCACCGGNUAACUCCGUGCCAGCAGCCG
rnacentral:rRNA from 1 species